GCAUUGGUGAUGGCUGCGGUAGAAUUCUUGCCUUUCAUGCAGGAGACACAGGUUCGAUUCCUGGCCAAUGCA
rnacentral:tRNA from 1 species